UCGAAGCUUUGGUGGAAGCUGAUGGAAAUUGACAUGCAUCUUUAAUCCACAAUUUCAAAGACGGUUUAUGCUCGUGCAAUGACCAGUGAUUUUCCAAGAGUUUCACAUACAUGGUGGUCCAGUAAUAAGCUUUGAUCUUUCCAAUACGCCGAAUGUACUACAGAGGAUGUAUAUAAGGCAAAAUACUUAUAGAAACCUAGAAGAUUUCCUUCAGAAUUAUGUUCAUCUUCUGCAAUCUGAUCUAGUCCAAUAUAUGAUGUUGCUACAAUACUAACCUCCAUUCAGGUAUAUAUACAGAAAUGUCAUACUCAAAUGCAUUCACAUGUCCGAAGUCUCCUUUUGAAUUUGUUGUUUUGGUCAAAUUACAUAGGUGCAUGGCUGAGUAAUCUCC
rnacentral:lncRNA from 1 species